GGUGAGAUGGCCGAGCGGUCUAAGGCGCUAGCUUCAGGAGAUCUUUGAGAUCUACUACCUGCUAGUAGAGCAAUCUGCGUGGGUUCGAAUCCCACUCUCAUCA